UAGGGAAUAUUGGACAAUGGGGGCAACCCUGAUCCAGCCAUGCCGCGUGAGUGAAGAAGGCCCUCGGGUUGUAAAGCUCUUUUGUCCGGAAAGAAAAGCUUCGGGUUAAUACCCCGGGGUUCUGACGGUACCGGAAGAAUAAGCACCGGCUAACUUCGUGCCAGCAGCCGCGGUAAUACGAAGGGUGCAAGCGUUACUCGGAAUUACUGGGCGUAAAGCGUGCGUAGGUGGUUGUUUAAGUCUGAUGUGAAAGCCCUGGGCUCAACCUGGGAAUGGCAUUGNAAACUGGGCAGCUAGAGGGCGGUAGAGGGUAGUGGAAUUCCCGGUGUAGCAGUUAAAUGCGUAGAGAUCGGGAGGAACAUCUGUGGCGAAGGCGACUGCCUGGACCAGCACUGACACUGAGGCACGAAAGCGUGGGGAGCAA
rnacentral:rRNA from 1 species